rnacentral:tRNA from 1 species
GCCGAAGUAGCUCAGUUGGUAGAGCAGCUGAUUCGUAAUCAGCAGGUCACGGGUUCGAGUCCCGUCUUCGGCUCCA